UGGCUGCGGCGGCGGCGGCGGCAUCAGCGGCGUGGCUGGAGGCCGCAGCGGCCUUUUGCACCAGGGAAGAGGCCAUGAGGAGGGCCAUGACGGCCAUGGCGAAGAAGCGGAGCUUGAGACCAGCUUCCAUUGUUGUUGUUGAUGAUGAUGAUGAUGAAGGUAUAGCUGGGAGAGAGGAGGAAAGGCUGGUAAUGUGUUCGAGGAAUGAGAAGAAAAGAGAGGUGGGAGUGCCUUCAUGUGGUGGCGUGGGGGGGUUUAUAUGGUGGACAGAAGUAGGAGAUGUGUUGUCUAUUGUGUGGUUGGGCAGAAGGCCUGAGAAUUAGGAAGGAAGAAGCUGUCAAAGGUGGAGGAGAGGCUGUGAACGAAUUGAAAUCAAUGAAUAUGAAUGAAAGGAGGUGAGACCAGACAUGUAAGAUUGGAAUAAAUGCGUUAUUAUCAUUAAUUUAAACUUAAGUAUUUUGAAUCAACACUUCAAAUUUAUCAUGUUAAUGAAUUAGUUAUUCAUCAAAUGACAAUAAUAAAACAUGAUAAGAGUCAAAUAGAAAAUGUUAUGUGAAUAGGUCCAGCAUUAAGGUUUUAAAUUAGUCAUAUCAUAUCAUGUUUAUCAUAAGACAAAAAAAAAAAAAAGGAUUGUUCAGAUGUAUUUGGGUUAGGAUUGAGUUUGGCAUAAACAAGAUUACUAAAGACUUGUUUUGAACUCAAAUCGAGAUUAUCGACCCAACAUGGAGCGACGAUUAACCAUAAAUAAGUCGUCAAGCGGGAUCUUAGAUAAAUCGGAUCGACCAAACUCAAAAUCGAACCCUUGGGUUUAGAUGAAAUAUUUCAUAUAGUCAAUCCCAAAUAAUUGACAUACUUAGAUUCAUGGGCCAGAAAUGUACCUUCUGAUUUUAAGACCUUUGCAAAAUUGUGGUGUUAAUGCAAAAAAAAAAACAUUUUCUACAUUAAUCAUUCCAAAAUAGUAGACUUAAUUAUAAUUAAUUUAGGUCUGCCGCAACCAAUGAAAAUAGCUGGGCAAUGAGAAAUGUACAUGCAUUAAUGAUUCAAGCAUGAUGAUGGUAUUAGAAGCAAUGUUCCAACCUGAAUCCAGCUGAGUUCCAACUCUUUGCUUCGUCUGCAGUCAUAUAGUUAGGUAAAGUAGCAUUUUUGACUUCUGCUAUAUGGAGUUCCAUCUUUGACAAUCUCAAGAAAGAGUUCUACAUCUGUAAUCCACUGGUGUAGUUCAAAGAAGCAGACAUGGUAAGAAUAUUUUGAAGUCAAAUGUGUCUCUCAGCCACACAAAGUGGUGUUUCCAGCACCACCAGGAAGGUCAUGUUCAGAAGACAUUACAAAAUGUGCACUGCAUGCCACAUAAUGCUAUGCAUAGAGUACAGUGGAAUGAUUCAUUGAGCACAGAAGGUAAGCAAAAGAUUUACUUGCACUUGCAGGCUGCAUGUAGUUCCACAUGCAGGAGAACACAAAAGCUGGUAACUCAGUAAAAUGUCUGACAACAAAAUCAGGAGGGACUGGGAAUUUGAAUGCAACAAAAUCUUCUGUGUGCCAUGUGACAUGCCUUGUUUGUAUUGUUCUCCUGAGCUAUGGAAAACCAGCUGUGGAAUUACUUGAGGUGUCCAAAACAUGCAGAGGGUAAAAGCCAGAAAUCUACAAGGACCAGGAGUAGUGGAACAAGCCAAACAGUGUUCUCAGAAGCCAAAACUGUCCAAAACAUGCAGCACAAAAAGCCAUGGAGGUCAUUCACAUGCACAACAGCACUUUGACUCUCCCCAGCUUGUCAUCAACAGCCUAUAUCAUAAAAGACAAAGAAACUUCCCCCUCACUCUGCUUGUUUCUUCGAAGGCCCCAAAUCCACACUACCAAGAUUGCUAAAGCUCACAUGUCGCAGAAUCCCAUUCACCCAUUAGCAUAACCUGAAUCAAUAGUCCCAAGAAGGGGCAAAUGACAAAGAAACAAUUUCAUGUGAGACUAUAACAGGCCCUGUUUCUCUUGAGAAACCUAGCCUCUCUCUCUCUCCAGCUCUAUAUGGAGAGAAGAAGAGUACAAAGUUAAGAAGGCAGACAAAAACCUCUGAAGAAGAGACCAAUUUUCACAGCUGCCAAGGUGUUGAAAAGGGGUGGUAUUACACUGAAUGGUACAAGAGAAAAGGAGGGAAUUUGAUUAGGAUUUCUAUGGACAAUUAGAGUUUCUACCAGGCCCCCCAUAGUAAAAGUACUGCCCCCAUGCAUUACUGUUCCCAUUCUGCACAUCGUAGCAGUUUGACUGCUCAGUGAAGGCUCCAACACCUUCGGGUGCCCUUAGAUUGUUAGACCCAUCAACUAUCUGAAUGUUCCUGAAGUAACUUGCCUUGCUAAACCCUUCUUCAGGGAAACGGCCACUGCCCAUCUCGGUGGAGGUGUGCUCACCAUCCGGCUCCGAGUUCACAACCUCCCCUCCCCAUUCUAUCAUGGUGGCACUGUCUGCCAAAUAAGAGAAGAGGAAAGAAGGCCAGUAGCCCAAAACGUAGUCGCUCCCAAAUUGCAUCCACCAGUUCCCCUCCUUAGGAUCCUGCACAGUUAAUCAGAACCAUGUUAUCAUCAUUAUUGAAAGAGAUAAGGCAGAAAGUAAUAAACAAUCCAAGCAGCAGAAUUAUACAAUGUGCAAGUGCAUGAAAAAGAACAAGAGUAGGUGGAUCAGAUUCAUUCUCUGUUGUUUUGUUUUUUCUUUUACAUACCUUCCAAACAAGUAUGCUUAUAUCAUAUUGUGAGCCAUCAUAGUUGGAGAUCGGAGAGAUGCUGGCACCCAUUGCAAUCUCAUUGUUAAUUUGAAUGAACCCAGAGCAAAGUAGGUUGUAGCAGCCAGUUGCUUGAUAUGCAUCACUCUGAAAAAUCAUGUAAAGAACCUAUUUUAAACCCGACCGAUAUUAUAUAAGAACGAUUACCGAAACCAUUCCACCGUCUCAACAAACGAAUCGAAGAAGAGUCAAGCAAAACAAUUCUGCUAAUAAAAUUAUAAUAUAAAUAACAACCCAUAGAACACAGCGUAGGAUGGUAUAAUUAGAGGGGGGAAAAAAAAGGAUAGAUGAAGCUUGGAAGGACAAGAAAACUUACAGUCCAGUAAGUAAAAAGCCUUGUGUAAUUGUCUCCAUACAAAUCCGGGCUGACCUGAUUCUCACCACACAAAGAGGAUUCAAUGCAUGCAUAGCCCCUUUCAUUAUAUCAAAGGACAGAAAUAAGAAAUGUACCUGCCAACCAGCUUCAAUGCUAUUAAGAUCCGCCCCAAAAGAGCCCCCUAAAAUCCAGAUCUGAGAUAGACUGAACUCAUUGGAUUGCUGAAUCUUUGGCUGCCACACAUUUAUGGUUGCCUUUGCUCCAUAAUAUUUAUCUCCCUCCACAUAAGCAAUUGCAUGCUACUCAAAAGGAUCCGCACACAAACAAAGGAAAAAGAACAAAACAAAACCAAUGAGAAAGGAAAAGAUGAAAGCCAAGAUUCAAAAGCAAGCUAAAAUAUUUAACAAAAAGUGAACUUGAUUCCGAAGCGUAAUAUUGAUGUUUGCAUUAACCUGAUGGCCACUCUCAUUGAGAAGGUCAGGGUCAACAGACAUGGGGUUGGGAAGGCUCCUGUGCUUCUUCCUCCCAUAUCUUUUAACAGAGCUGGCCCUUGACACAUCCUCCCUGGUGGUUCUCCGGAUGGGGAUGGUGUCCUCAGGGCACCUACCAUUCUGAUGCCACAGUUGAGCCAUGGAGGGGGUUUUCGUCUGAGACACAACCUUGUUCCCGCCGAACAAGCCUUCUGGGUGAUAAGCUGGCCUCGUCUGAAAAUAUUAUCGGCAUAAAAGUGAAUUGUCAAGUAGAGAAACCGCAGAAGGUUUGGAGCAAGAAAAGAGAGAGAAACCUGGAUCGUGUGGUUCUUGAGGAAAGGAUGAUCAAAGGCUGGUUGGUGAGAGACAUGCACACAGUCUAUAAUAUCUCCAUCUGGACUCUGCUCAUUUACAUCAAGAAGGAAACCAUUAAGAAUGCUAAAAGCUAGAUUUUUAGGUACGGAAAACAAGAAGGGAAAAAAGUGCAGACCAAAACUCCAGUAUUUUGAUGACAGGAGAACUCUCAACCGGAUGAUAGAAAUUGUCUUUAUAAGCGACACUCUUAUUUAUAGAGAGAUCAACAUGCUAAAAUUUUAAACGAAUGGAAGAAAGGAAUCCACUUUUUUUUUUUUUAAUCUAUCGGACAACACGCCGAGUUUGCCAAAAUACAACAAAAAAGAUGGAAAAUCGUAAACAAAAACGAAGAUAAUUGGCCUAUUAACCGCAUGCAUUAUAAAAAAACAAAUGGAACGCUUCUAUUGACCUUUUUUUUCCACGAACAGAAAUUAAAAUCUCCAAAACAGGGACAAAAUAUGUAGGAUUAUCUUAUACACCCAUAAUCGAUAAGAAGCCAACCCAAAAAUGAAAACCGAGAAAUCCAGAAAGAAAAGCGAGAGAGAGAGAGAGAC
rnacentral:lncRNA from 1 species